AUGAAUGUGCCAGGUUGAGUGCCCGACCUGGCACAUUCACACCCGACCACAUAAUGGCGCCCCUGUUCACCUGGCGCCCAUGGCACCUGUCCACACCUGCCACACCCUAGAUACGCCACUGGGUUCACUGUAUAUGUUUUCUCCUGAAAGUUAACUAUUAUUUAAUUUGUCUUUCAUUAAACGAAGAUAUGAAAUUCUGCUUCGAAACAUUUUUCAGUAGAAGUGUUUUUCCCCUGGCUUUUUAAACUAUUUUUUAAAGAAAGGAUUCGAAACAUUCGAAAUUCGUAAGAUUCGUGGGAUUCGGAAAAAUUCUGGAUUCGUCCCAUCUCUAUUGUUUUCCCAUGCUAAUGAUCAUCGACCUGCCAUUCCCUGUGUCUCCCGAAAUAGGAAAGAAACAAAAAAUACGUAUACACCACAGCUAAUUUACAAAAACGUGAAUAUCUCGCGAACGGUGUUUUGCUGAAGCAUAACGUUGUAAGCGCUUGGAACUUCUUGCCUCUAAGAAGCUGCACAAUCCACGAAAAGUGAUUUGUACCCUAAUAAUCAAUCACUACACAACUGUAAUCGAAAUAAGCGAUUGUAAGUAAUUUAGCGCGAUUAUUCGCUUUUUGACUAACAUUGGUUAUUAUAUAUGCUGACGAAUAUUAACUUUGAAAGUGUCCUCGUUCUUCAUAAUUUAUGCCUUACAUAAUAAACUACUGAGUAUAAAACAGCAAGAGAAACAAAUGAAGAAUGUUAUGCAUUCAAUUACUUCAAAUAUCCAUGCGAUUUACUAUUUUUCCCGAAGAUUUUGUUAUACAGUGUUUUGCAUAGCAAGCCCGUUGCCAGACGUGCAAUCAAGAGUUACUAUGGAGCAUGUAGCUAUCAACACGGGAGUCCAAAAGGCCAUACCGAACAAGGCGAUCGCGUUCCUCUUGAUGCCAGGAUCAAAGUGUCAAAGAAGACAGCAAGGGGACGUCACAGGUUGCACUCGGCGCGUUCAUACGGACACAUAGUUAAUAAUUAGGUGUCAGAGCAAAGAAAAGGCCGUCCAGCUCCUAGAAGAUAUUAUGCAGAAAAGCAGGGACAAAGCGCAAUCAGUGCGUACUCUACAAAACAGGAUUCAGUGGCUCUCCCAGUGGAGGUCCACAGCGGCAAUGGGGUGCCUUUUUAUGUGUUUCUCAAUGGCGAUCUUCCACCCAUUCCAUGAGUUCGGAGUGACAUGGUCUGUCAUUGCUUGCCUCCUCCCUCUCCUGGUGUUCGCAAUCGUGUGGAUGGCUGUGCCUGCGAUUCUACAAGAAGUACUUAAAGACCGGACACGAGAACUAGAGAGCUUGAAUGAAGAUCGAAGGAAUAUUUUGGACAAAGUGAAGACUACAGAAGUGUACGAGGAUGCACAACGCUUGCUAAGUGUGUACGAUGGGGACGCAUUUGACAUAUCAGUCCAGGUGUGACACCAACAGCUCGUUCGACAUUCUGAGGACCACAUCGAAAAUCUCCGGCAGCUCCUGAGCCUCAAGCCGCGGGAAGCUUUUGUUUUGCGCGUGUGGAAAACGUUACGUGCCGUUUUGGAUCGUACAGCUAGUUAAGUGCCUUACUGGACUCAACUGUUUCAGUGGAUGAACCUUACUCAGCUACAUCGAUUCCCACACUGACUGUCUCGAUGGAGUAAGCCGUUCUGGUUGGAGGUCCUAACUAGAAUGUGCUCUUACAACUUCUCUCUCUCUCUCUCUUUCUCUCCCUUGGAGCGUUCAGCCAUUUGGUGGGAAAAAGUCCCGAAAAAAACUCUGGGUGUUCCAACGGGGUCCGGAGGCUCGUUGUCAAUGACCCGAAGGAGGGGACACCAAAUGGGCGCGAACAUAAUGUUAAAGCAAAAGUUCCUCGCACUGCACACGAUAAAGUCUGUUCAGUAGGCUCAAGUGAAAUGCCUAGGCUCAAAUAUACCCAAAUCGCUGAAAACCGA